UAGUACCGUGAGGGAAAGGUGAAAAGAACCCCGGGAGGGGAGUGAAAUAGAACCUGAAACCCUGCACUUACAAGCUGUGGAAGCACAUUUCUUGUGUGACCGCGUACUUUUUGUAGAACGGGCCAACGAGUUACGUUAAGUAGCAAGGUUAAGCACUUAAGGUGCGGAGCCGUAGCGAAAGCGAGUUUUAACUGAGCGUUCAGUUACUUGACGUAGACCCGAAACCGGGCGACCUACCCAUGAGCAGGAUGAAGCGAAAGUAAAAUUUCGUGGAGGUCCGAACCCACGAGCGUUGAAAAGCUCGGGGAUGACUUGUGGGUAGCGGUGAAAUUCCAAUCGAGCCCGGAGAUAGCUGGUUCUCCCCGAAAUAGCUUUAGGGCUAGCCUCAAGGUGAGAGAUACGGAGGUAGAGCACUGAAUGUCCUAGGGGGUAUUGCACCUACCGAAGACUAUCAAACUCCGAAUGCCGUCAUCUUAUACUUGGGAGUCAGACUGUGGGUGAUAAGAUUCAUAGUCGAAAGGGCAACAGCCCAGAUCGUCAGCUAAGGUCCCUAAAUGUAAGUUAAGUGGUAAAGGAUGUGGGAUUGCACAGACAACCAGGAUGUUGGCUUAGAAGCAGCCACUCAUUCAAAGAGUGCGUAAUAGCUCACUGGUCGAGUGAUCCUGCGCCGAAGAUUUCCGGGGCUAAAACUUACUACCGAAGCUACGGCAUCAGUAAUGAUGGGUAGGGGAGCUUCCCAUACGGGUUGAAGCAUGACCGUAAGGACAUGUGGACAGUAUGGGAGUGAGAAUGUUGGCAUGAGUAGCGAGAUGUGGGUGAGAAUCCCACAGGCCGUAAACCCAAGGUUUCCAGGGGAAGGUUCGUCCGCCCUGGGUUAGUCGGGACCUAAGCUGAGGCCGAAAGGCGUAGGUGAUGGACAACAGGUUGAUAUUCCUGUACUACCGAUAACCGUUUGAGAGAAGGGAUGACACAGUAGGAUAAGCUAAGCACACUGUUGGUUAUGUGUGCCCAAGCAUUGAGGCAGUCAAAGUAGGCAAAUCCGCUUUGAUAAUGCUGGGAUGUGAUGGGGAGCGAAAUUUAGUAGCGAAGUAGCUGAUUUCACACUGUCAAGAAAAGUCUCUAUCGAGGUUAAAGGUACCCGUACCGCAAACCGACACAGGUGGGUGAGGAGAGUAUCCUAAGGCCAGCGAGAGAACUGUUGUUAAGGAACUCGGCAAAAUGACCCCGUAACUUAGGGAUAAGGGGUGCCACCAUCAGGUGGCCGCAGAGAAUAGGCCCAAGCGACUGUUUACCAAAAACAUAGGUUUCUGCUAAGUCGCAAGACGAUGUAUAGGAGCUGACGCCUGCCCGGUGCUGGAAGGUUAAGGGGAUCUGUUAGAGCAAUCGAAGCAGUGAACUUAAGCCCCAGUAAACGGCGGCCGUAACUAUAACGGUCCUAAGGUAGCGAAAUUCCUUGUCGGGUAAGUUCCGACCCGCACGAAAGGCGUAACGAUUUGGGCACUGUCUCAACAACAGACUCGGUGAAAUUGUAAUUCCGGUGAAGAUGCCGGAUACCUGCGACAGGACGGAAAGACCCCAUGGAGCUUUACUGUAGCUUGACAUUGGGUCUUGGUACUACAUGUACAGGAUAGGUGGGAGGCUUUGAAACCAGGACGCCAGUUUUGGCGGAGCCAUCCUUGGGAUACCACCCUUGUAGUACUGGGACUCUAACCAUAGGCCAUGAAUCUGGUCUUGGGACACUGUCAGGUGGGCAGUUUGACUGGGGCGGUCGCCUCCCAAAAGGUAACGGAGGCGCUCAAAGGUUCUCUCAGUACGGUCGGAAAUCGUACGUAGAGUGUAAAGGCAAAAGAGAGCUUGAUUGCAAGACAUACAGGUCGAGCAAGGAUGAAAAUCGGACUUAGUGAUCCGGUGGUUCUGCGUGGAAGGGCCAUCGCUCAACGGAUAAAAGCUACCCUGGGGAUAACAGGCUUAUCUCCCCCAAGAGUCCACAUCGACGGGGAGGUUUGGCACCUCGAUGUCGGCUCAUCACAUCCUGGGGCUGUAGUAGGUCCCAAGGGUUGGGCUGUUCGCCCAUUAAAGUGGUACGCGAGCUGGGUUCAGAAC
rnacentral:rRNA from 1 species